rnacentral:rRNA from 1 species
UGCAGUCGAGGGGUAUAUUGAGCUUGCUUAAUAGAGACCGGCGCACGGGUGAGUAACGCGUAUGCAACCUACCUUCUACAGGGGAAUAGCCCGAAGAAAUUCGGAUUAAUGCUCCAUGGUUUAAUUGAAUGGCAUCAUUUAAUUAAUAAAGAUUUAUCGGUAGAAGAUGGGCAUGCGUAUCAUUAGCUAGUUGGUGUGGUAACGGCAUACCAAGGCGACGAUGAUUAGGGGUCCUGAGAGGGAGAUCCCCCACACUGGUACUGAGACACGGACCAGACUCCUACGGGAGGCAGCAGUGAGGAAUAUUGGUCAAUGGAGGCAACUCUGAACCAGCCAUGCCGCGUGCAGGAUGACGGUCCUAUGGAUUGUAAACUGCUUUUGUACAGGAAGAAACCUCGCUACGAGUAGCGAUUUGACGGUACUGUAAGAAUAAGGAUCGGCUAACUCCGUGCCAGCAGCCGCGGUAAUACGGAGGAUCCGAGCGUUAUCCGGAAUUAUUGGGUUUAAAGGGUUCGUAGGCGGUUAGAUAAGUCAGUGGUGAAAUUUCUUAGCUUAACUAAGACCCGGCCAUUGAUACUGUUUGACUUGAAUAGUAUGGAAGUAACUAGAAUAUGUAGUGUAGCGGUGAAAUGCUUAGAUAUUACAUGGAAUACCAAUUGCGAAGGCAGGUUACUACGUACUUAUUGACGCUGAUGAACGAAAGCGUGGGGAGCGAACAGGAUUAGAUACCCUGGUAGUCCACGCCGUAAACGAUGGAUACUAGCUGUUCGGUUUUCGGACUGAGUGGCUAAGCGAAAGUGAUAAGUAUCCCACCUGGGGAGUACGUUCGCAAGAAUGAAACUCAAAGGAAUUGACGGGGGCCCGCACAAGCGGUGGAGCAUGUGGUUUAAUUCGAUGAUACGCGAGGAACCUUACCAGGGCUUAAAUGUAGAUUGACAGGUUUGGAAACAGACUUUUCUUCGGACAAUUUACAAGGUGCUGCAUGGUUGUCGUCAGCUCGUGCCGUGAGGUGUCAGGUUAAGUCCUAUAACGAGCGCAACCCCUAUUGUUAGUUACCAUCGAGUAAUGUCGGGAACUCUAGCAAGACUGCCGGUGCAAACCGUGAGGAAAGUGGGGAUAACUUCAAU